GCUAGCGUAGCUUAACUAAAGCAUAACACUGAAGAUGUUAAGAUAGCCCUUAAACCGGACUCGUAGGCA
rnacentral:tRNA from 1 species